AAAAAGGCAAUCGAGGCAAAUUAGACUGGAAAAAAAAAUAUUUCCUCAACGGCUUGAAGUCUCCAACGGAUCCGUCGGCGAUCCUCGAUCGGCGAUCGGCGAUUUGCUUGCUGAUAUAUUUAGCGAUAGCUUUCUACUAUCGGAGGAGAAGAGCGAGAAGCAGGAAUUCUUUCGUGGGAUCUCUCGCGCCAGGAUUCAAGUUGAAAUAAUAUGCAUGAGGGAUGCAUGAAAACUUAUGCCCCUGCUGUGGAUAUAACUGAAAGUCCAGUGUCUGAAUUCUGGAAAGGAAGACCUCCUGAAUUUUCCGCUGGUGCAGCCUUGAGUAGCUGCAAAUUUGAGGCUCAGAGAACGAUCCCAGUUGUCCUUCAUUUGCGAAAAGGCAGCUCAGGUUCUUAUGCCUGGGCACAGGAUGGAAGCAGCUUCUGGUGUUAUAGCAACUAAAGCUUUUGGCUGUCACCAUCUUGGAGGCCCGCAUUUGCAUGCAUAUAAUUCUGUUCUUGACUUGAUGGAUCUUCAAUUAUAGGCUACAAUAGCUAGCCUCAACUCCUUGUGAGAAGUUGUGCUGCCAGGUUGAGGGAGGGGAAAUUGGAUUUAAAUUGAGAAUUUGGUGUUUCCAGAGGCAAUGGGAACUGUUGAGAUCACUGUGCUUCUUUCUGGUCCUGGAAGUGCAAGUCUUGCACUGCAUCAAGGAUAUUGUCUGCAUAAUGGCUGUUGCACAAUCCAAAAUGUGUUCGCUAGCUCAAAUGGCUGCAAAUUCAAGUAUCAGAGUUUGAUCCACACUCAUUUCCACCAGGCAAGCUAAACUUUUGCAAAUAAUAUAGAAAUUUGUUAAGCUUUUUGCAUAUAUCUUAAAGCAAGAAAGUGAGUCAUUUGCUAGGUCUUCAUAUAUGAGUCGGUUUGGGUUACAUUGAUUUGACUGUAUGUCACCUUAUUGAUUUUAGCUUUGUCACGCCCCGAACCCAACAUCUGGAUCGGAUAUGUGAUGGCCGCACACUCCUUAGAGCAAACCCUAAAGAAUAUGCAAAGCCAAAAAUAUUUCAUUACAACCUCAACAUCCAUAAUAUCUAAUUUCAGUAAUAACUAGUAAAAUUUGCAUAAUUAUAAAUUAAAUUCUUUCAAUCCUCUGAUCAGGUAUCAUGACACUAUCUAUACAUCUGCUCAUCCGCAAAUCCAUAUCACAGCCAAUCAUGAGUAUCCUGUAA